CUACGUAGGUGGCAAGCGUUGUCCGGAAUUAUUGGGCGUAAAGCGCAUGUAGGCGGCGUGUUAAGUCUGUCGUGAAACUGCGGGGCUCAGCCCCGUAUGGCGAUGGAAACUGAUGUGCUUGAGUGCAGGAGAGGAAAGGGGAACUCCCAGUGUAGCGGUGAAAUGCGUAGAUAUUGGGAAGAACACCGGUGGCGAAGGCGCCUUUCUGGACUGUGUCUGACGCUGAGAUGCGAAAGCCAGGGUAGCGAACGGGAUUAGAUACCCCGGUAGUCCUGGCCGUAAACGAUGGGUACUAGGUGUGGGAGGUAUCGACCCCUUCCGUGCCGGAGUUAACGCAAUAAGUACCCCGCCUGGGGAGUACGGCCGCAAGGCUUAAACUCAAAGGAAUUGACGGGG
rnacentral:rRNA from 1 species